rnacentral:rRNA from 1 species
AUUGAACGCUGGCGGCAUGCCUUACACAUGCAAGUCGAGCGGCAGCGCGGGGGCAACCCUGGCGGCGAGCGGCGGACGGGUGAGUAAUACAUCGGAACGUGUCCUGUCGUGGGGGAUAACCAGUCGAAAGACUGGCUAAUACCGCAUGAGAUCGAAAGAUGAAAGCGGGGGACCGCAAGGCCUCGCGCGAUUGGAGCGGCCGAUGUCGGAUUAGCUAGNGGCGGGGUAAAGCCACCAAGGCUACGAUCCGUAGCUGGUUUGAGAGAACGACCAGCCACACUGGGACUGAGACACGGCCCAGACUCCUACGGGAGGCAGCAGUGGGGAAUAUUGCGCAAUGGGCGAAAGCCUGACGCAGCGACGCCGCGUGGGUGAUGAA